rnacentral:tRNA from 1 species
UCCCUGGUAGCUCAUUUGGUAAAGAAUCUGCCUGCAACGCAGGAGGUCCAGGUUCCACACCUGGGUCGGGAA